rnacentral:rRNA from 1 species
AAUGAACGCUAGCUACAGGCUUAACACAUGCAAGUCGAGGGACGGGCGUACGGGUGAGUAACGCGUAUCCAACCUUCCCAUUACUGUGGGAUAACCUGCCGAAAGGCAAACUAAUACCGAGUCGUAAUGGAUGGGGAGGCGUCUGAUUCGCUUGUUGGCGGGGUAACGGCCCACCAAGGCGACGAUCAGUAGGGGUUCUGAGAGGCAGGCCCCCCACAUCGGAACUGAGACCCGGUCCAAACUCUGACGGGAGGCAGCAGUGGGGAAUAUUGGUCAAUGGACGGAAGUCUGAACCAGCCAAGUAGCGUGCAGGAUGACGGGCUAUGGGUGGUAAACUGCUUUUGUAUGGGGAUAGGUACCAUAUGAAUAAGGACCGGCUAAUUCCGUGCCAGCAGCCGCGGUAAUAC